rnacentral:tRNA from 1 species
CCCUACAAGUACUGGAUCAUUGUCCCACACUUCAUAUAUGCUCUAACCCCAAAGUACUCUGAAUGGGGAUGUAGCUCAUUGGUAGGGUUCCUGCUUUGCAUGCAGGAGUCCGUGGGUUUGAUUCCCAGCAUCCCCAAAACUUUUUAACUGUUUGCUUUCAGGAUCUAUUCUCCCUUUAAUUGUAACAUUUCAGGAUCUAUUCGCACAAAGUAUGUCAGAUUUUAACUUCUUGUUAUGAGCUUAUAGUUGCAUAGCUACUUAGUGGAUGAAAUGGCUUAACAGUCACGUGACAACCAGUGAGGUGAGGAGAACCUGGUCAUUCCCACAAGGAUAUGCUUUCUUAUCACAAAGAAACUAAGCUCUGCUUUCCUUCUGGUGGCAGGUUCUCCAUGGUAUGAUUUCUACGGGGAUAACAAGAGUGAAGAGUUCUCGGAGACCGAAAAAGAGAGGAAGAGCUGUGCAGAGCCAUUGCUGGUUACUGAACACAGGAAGCAUUUGUGGUUGUCAUAGAAACCUGGGGUCAUUAUGGUGACCGUUUUCAAUGGCUACCCAGGUGAUGUCCUGGAAAGGAGAAUUCCUGCUAUUUGUACUGAGUGAGCUUCAGGGUUCCCGGAGGUCAUAUCGGUGGAGAUCAGCAUCAGUCUGGUGAAGAACGUGGUCACGCCUCAAGGGAUAUGCUUUCUUGUAACAAAGAAGCUAAGCUCUGCUUUCCUGCUGGUGGUUGUUUCUCCAGUGAGUUUGGUUUCUAGGGUGAUAACAAGGGUGAAGAGUUCUUGUAGUGAGAGAAAGAGAGGGAGGGCUAGACGGAUCCAUUGCUGGUUACUGAACACAGGAAGCAUUUGUGGUUGUCAUGGAUACCUGGGGUCAUUAUGGCGAACGAUUUCAAUGGCUACAGUGCAGGAAGUUUAGGCAUGUGUUACCAACCUUCAUUUCAGUAAAUCUUUGGUCCACAAGCCGGGGAAACCAACCACCACAUUUGUGCUUUAUGUGAGCCGCCUGUCCCAAUUAGGGCCCAAAUUAAUACACAGAAACUUGUAUUAGGUUCAAAUGCUGGUUGGCCAAUGACUAGGAUUCUCAUCUGUUAACUCUGUCUUAAUUAUCAUAAAUCUAUAUAUUUUA